rnacentral:rRNA from 1 species
AACGAACGCUGGCGGCAUGCCUAACACAUGCAAGUCGAACGAGACCUUCGGGUCUAGUGGCGCACGGGUGCGUAACGCGUGGGAACCUGCCCUUAGGUUCGGAAUAACUCCCCGAAAGGGGUGCUAAUACCGGUUAAUGUCUUCGGACCAAAGAUUUAGCGCUUGGGGAUGGGCCCGCGUUGGAUUAGCUUGUUGGUAGGGGAAUAGCCUACCAAGGCCACGAUGGGUAGCUGGUCUGAGAGGAUGAUCGGCCACACUGGGAGGGAGAUAAGGCCCAGACUCCUACGGGAGGCAGCAGGGGGGAAUAUGGCACAAUGGGCGGAAGCCGGAUGCAGCAACGCCGCGUGCGGGAUGACGGCCUUCGGGUUGUAAACCGCUUUCGCCUGUGACGAAGCGUGAGUGACGGGAAUGGGUAAAGAAGCACCGGCUAACUACGUG